rnacentral:rRNA from 1 species
UACGUAGGCAGCAAGCGUUGUUCGGAGUUACUGGGCGUAAAGGGUGUGUAGGCGGUUGUUUAAGUUUGGUGUGAAAUCUCCCGGCUCAACCGGGAGGGUGCGCCGAAUACUGAAUGACUUGGAGUGCGGGAGAGGAAAGUGGAAUUCCUGGUGUAGCGGUGAAAUGCGUAGAUAUCAGGAGGAACACCGGUGGUGUAGACGGCUUUCUGGACCGUAACUGACGCUGAGAUACGAAAGCGUGGGUAGCAAACAGG